CAAAUGGAUGUUUCUCCAGUAAUCCUCCCCUCCUGGGUAAAUAGUUAGCCUGGAAGCCUCCCCAUCUGCAUACCUGUGACCCCAGGUUUUUACUAAAGAAUUUUCCCUUUGUAAAUCACAAGGGCCCAAACUCCUGUCUCAGGCUCUGCUUCUGAAGAACAUCACCUAAGCCAUUACACGAUAGAUGAGUUGAUAAGGUAACAAUGUAUCAAGUCCACUCUUCUUCCCAGCUGAAAGAAUGAUUGUAACCCUGAAAAUGGCCAGAAUGCCUAGGCUUGCAAAGAAGGAUUUUCCAAGAGUCCCUGACAACUUUUAUCACUUUAUCUUACUAAUUGGGAAAAAAGUGAAUGCUGUACUCUUCCAAGUAUAGAAAUCCUUGCAUUUGACCAGAAUCCACAGUAGGUUAAAGAUGGAAGCUGGUGUUUUCUAGCAGGUUAGCGCCAUUAAAAUAACAACAAUCAA
rnacentral:lncRNA from 1 species